GGUGGUUUGUCGCGUUGUUCGUGAAAUCUCACGGCUUAACUGUGAGCGUGCGGGCGAUACGGGCAGACUUGAGUACUGCAGGGGAGACUGGAAUUCCUGGUGUAGCGGUGGAAUGCGCAGAUAUCAGGAGGAACACCGGUGGCGAAGGCGGGUCUCUGGGCAGUAACUGACGCUGAGGAGCGAAAGCGUGGGGAGCGAACAGGAUUAGAUACCCUGGUAGUCCACGCCGUAAACGGUGGGUACUAGGUGUGGGUUUCCUUCCUUGGGAUCCGUGCCGUAGCUAACGCAUUAAGUACCCCGCCUGGGGAGUACGGCCGCAAGGCUAAAACUCAAAGAAAUUGACGGGGGCCCGCACAAGCGGCGGAGCAUGUGGAUUAAUUCGAUGCAACGCGAAGAACCUUACCUGGGUUUGACAUGCACAGGACGCCGGCAGAGAUGUCGGUUCCCUUGUGGCCUGUGUGCAGGUGGUGCAUGGCUGUCGUCAGCUCGUGUCGUGAGAUGUUGGGUUAAGUCCCGCAACGAGCGCAACCCUUGUCUCAUGUUGCCAGCGGGUAAUGCCGGGGACUCGUGAGAGACUGCCGGGGUCAACUCGGAGGAAGGUGGGGAUGACGUCAAGUCAUCAUGCCCCUUAUGUCCAGGGCUUCACACAUGCUACAAUGGCCGGUACAAAGGGCUGCGAUGCCGCGAGGUUAAGCGAAUCCUUUUAAAGCCGGUCUCAGUUCGGAUCGGGGUCUGCAACUCGACCCCGUGAGGUCGGAGUCGCUAGUAAUCGCA
rnacentral:rRNA from 1 species